GAAAUUCUCGCCUUACGUUCUGAGCGGUCAAACUUGAAAAUGCUGGAGAAAGUAUAGUAUUAUUCAGUUCAUCCGGACUGAUCGAUGCAUCGCUGCCAAUCGACGGAGCGCUUGACGAUCUGACAAUGCCUCCCGUUCCAGUGUUGGUUUGCAAAGUUGGUGGGUUGGUCGUAGGAACUUGAGUUUGCGUGUUCUGUGCCCCUACCCUUGGCUCGGAAUUAACUGCUUCUUCGUUGUUUUCCAUAUUAUUUUGCUGUAGCUUACUCCCACUUCUAGUCAAAACCAUUCCAAAAUUUAUAGAAAACUAAUAACAGUGUUCCUAAGAAAUAUUAAAAACAAAAACUAAAAAUCACGAAAACAUAUAUACUAGUAGUAAUGCUUCUACUUCUGUCGAAGUAGGAAAAUAAUGAUGUAUUAAAUAAUAUCAAAAAGUCUUUCAAUAUAAAAUAAGGUAGGAUUUUAGGUGACGGCCAUUAGAAGAGUAGAUGUUACUUUCAGAUUUAAAAGAAAGAAGGUAAACAAAAUAAUUACCUCCUGCAAUCCUGUGCUUUAACUUUUUAUACUGUGGAUAUGGAAAAUGUGGUUUAACAACCUAGUGACAUCGAAAGAAAUCUCGUUGACUAUACUAUGAGUGUUUCUGUCUAAGAAUUGACUCCGGACAACAAAAUUCCUUUCGAAUACAAAAUGAUUGUUAAAAAUUACUAUUGCAAUGAAAAACUAAUUGGAUGUGACCCAAAAACUCCACACAAUCGUGGCAAUUAAAUGCGUUGUGUUACUAACACUGGCGAUAAGACCUACGAUUAUAUGUAGCAUAAAGGUUUGGUGAUUCAAUAUUAAAUCUCCACCUCACGACCCCGAUUUAGAAAACUUUAGGUCGGGACUGAGAUUUUAGCAUUGGACCGUGAUAUUGAAAAUGAAGAAAUAUCGUUCAAAAUGUAUACUAUUUAAUCCUAGUGGCAGCCGUGAGGACUCUAUGAGCUACUCAAACGGGACCUACUUGCUUUAAAUAAUAUAUGGCUACAAUUAUAUUUUGCUUUCAUCUCGGGCCCCACGUUAUGGGCGCCAUUUUUGUCACGUACUACCGUCAGUUGAUUUCACAUAAUUCCUAUUUUCUAGCAAACAUCGUCAUUGCUGGCAUGCUGGCUUUUUGCACGGCUAGUGCUCGCCGGAUGGGGGUGGUUCUUGACGACAUUGACUAGGUUGGCAAUACGUGGAACAAAAAAAAUUAUCAUGCCAGACUGAUCAAAAUUUAAAAAAAAGGUAUUCCGAGCCCGAGAGAAAUAGUAAACUAUUAAUGACUUUUACCACAGCAUAAAUAAGAAAAAGCAACCAGUUAUAUGGAAAAAAAAUCAUGAAAGUACUCGGCAGGUGUUAAACCGAGCUCUUCCCUCCCACUGGAACACUUGUUCCACCUUGGCAAUCAAAACAUGUUCAUAUUGUCCCCAUACCUACCUCUUCUUUGGCACGUCACCCUCCUAACCUUCAAUUAAAUUUCCUUAUGGAGAAGACAUUUUAAUUCAUAUCCAUCGUUAUAAUUUUAUUUUUAAUUCAAGUUUCUUAAUUUUAAAUACCAUAAAUCGUGGAUCAUUUUAACUUUGAGAUUCACAUGGUUAAAAAGGUUUUUACUAGUGCAAAGAGUUUUUACUAGUGUAAAAUAUUCGAAAAUCGUAAGUAUUAUAAUUUUGAGCGUUGUACAUAAUAACGAAACUUAGGGAUGCUGAACAGAGGUCCUAUGAUAGCGGUGUUUGCUGGCAAUUGAGCUUAUUAUCGUCAGUUAAUCUCUGGAGUAAAAACAAAGGGACAACAUUAAGCUUUUGUGAAUGGGAGCAACUAACUCCUGGUGAUAAAUUACCUGUCCUACCUGCCUAGAGAGAGCUCUAUCUAUUCGGAGAGGAUAUGAGAAUAAAAAAAUUCGAAUAAUAAUGAAAACAAAAGGAAAUGUCUACCCUUAAGGCCACGUGUUUUCUAUACCCUUUUAUUCCAGGUUUAUGGGCUGUCCGUCCGUCGAAAGUAAUUAUCAAUAAGUUUGGAGGUAAGUAAUGAGUUAAAGUCAAUAGCUCGUUUUACACCAUAUCAGUUUUAUAUUCUUUUAUUUUUAGGUACCUCAGCACCGCGGAAUGCCUGGUGCUCAACAGCGGAUCCAACGAUGAGCAGAGGAGUCGGGAUCGGUGGUCCAAAUAUCGUUAGCGAUGCUGGCAAAAGUGUUUGGUGCUGUAUUACUUCCUUUUGUUCAACAGUUAUUGAGGUUU